CUGUAUAUAGAUUCCGCCGCUCUACCUGUCUGUCACUGCCACUCAUACUGAUAACUCAUUUUGCUAAAAAAUGGAAACAUCGCAAACUACGGACAGUGAUGGGAGUAGCCCCGCUGAAAUGCACGAUAAUAAGCACUCCACUACGAGUUCAUUCCCUCCACUCAUGGCAAGCACUCCAUCCUCAAGAUUGAGAACCAUACCUUCAACCAAGUGACGUCAGAUGGGAGAUACUGGAGCUGUUCUAAAAGGACUUCCACCAGGUGCAAAGCCAGAGUCCGUUUUGACAGCACAUGUCAGAAAAUUGUGCUGUAUGAUCGAGUGCAUACCCAUGAGCCGAGGAAAGUCCCGAAGACCAACGAAAAUUAUUUUGCUUUUAAUUAUUGUUAGCUAGUUGAAUGCUGAAUAAAGGGUCUGACUUACAAGUGGUACCACGACGCGACAUUGUUUUAAAUAUUAUUUGUUAGUUUUUAGAGUUUAUUUUUUGUGUGGGGGUUUUUAAUUUUUUUAAUUUAUACAUGAAUUAACGAACCCUCCCCGUCACGAAUCACACAAAAAUAAGUUUAGUUAUUCUAGGAAGUUACAUUGGUGACGGGUAGCUUGAUUAAACGGUCAAUUACACAGUCCACUUUGAUCACCUGGGUGAAUAAACCGAUUAAAUUAGUUUAUUAUACCACCACAAGACAAUGUUCAAUUUCUCAAUCUAAAAGUCACUUUUCAGGACUAUCCUACGAAUUCAUCCCUUCAGUUCAGGGAAAGCAUCCUAUCCUGGUGCUGGACAGCCACACCUUCAACCAGGUAACCUCAGACGGGCGAAACUGGUAUUGUUCCGGGAAAACCUCGACCAAAUGCAAGGCGAAAGUCCGUUUUGCCGGGAAUAAACUAGUGUCUUACGAAAACUACCACAACCAUCCGCCUCGUAAGCUCAUUAAGGUUAACGGGAAAUAUUAUAAAGUGUAAAUAAAGAUGGCGGGUGAGAAAGAAAAUGGUUGUGUCUAGGCCAGC